UGAGGUGGAUCUAAAAGGAGGCCUGAGGCCUAAUCCAGCAGCCAUGCAUCAACUACCAGUUAACCCCACUACCCCGGUGAAAGUCAAAGCCUUGCAUUAAGCCUACAGUCUUGGGGAUAUUAUACAAGUCAAGUCAGCAAGAUAUACCAUAUAUGCCUACAAGAUUCCGGAUCCAUUUCUGCCACCUGAAGCUGUCUCCACAUUGGGGAUCCCCCACUCCAUAUCCCAACUGUUGAAGCAUCCAUCGAGAAGUGUCCAUGCUUCCAUUGCUUUAUCAAACAGAGCAGCCACAUCAACAGGAAGAGCAGGGGUCAAGGGACUAUUCUGGAAAUAGGUGCAGGCCCAGGAGCGCUCAGAUAACCUCCGCAGCUUCAAAGACAAUGAAUGAAGUGGC